AUGGAACCUCACUGCCCUGCCCACUGUUUGCAUCAUAAGGGCUGGAAACCCUGCUGUGGCAUCUCCUGGAGGCUGCAGGCACAGAUAUGUCCAUGCUUCUGCCAUCGUAAAACAUCACUCAGUUUUCAGACAUCACCUGUGCCUCCAAGGACUGAGAUGGGACAGAAGGAUGUUGUGGACUCCACUUCUGCAAAGCUCAAGAAAGAACUGGAGUGGCAGGUGGAGGAGAUUUCUGAAUUCCAUGAAUAUAAACUUCAUAGGCAUCAGCAGGUUCCUUGUUUGGAGGACAUAAGACAUUUGAAGGAAAAAAGAGAAAUAUUGGAAGAAAGAGAACUAGUCUUACAACAGGACAACAUCUUAAAGGACAUGCAGAUAAAAAUAAGCCACUUAGUAGAACAGCUCAAGAACUCUGAACUAAUUGGGUUAAAACUUUCAAAGCAAUUGCGGAAUCAGAUAGAAGCCUUGGGAGCAGGAAGCAGCCAACAAGAAGAGAAGGUGGACAACUGCACAAGCUCUCCCACUCAGAAGACAACCAUGGUGAAACAGACCCAGACAUCAAUGACUGGCUACCUAAAAAAAUUAUCUUCAUGUCUUAGGAACAGUUUAUGGCAGAUUGGCAGGCUCUUGCUACAUUCUGGCUGCUCUUUUAUAGUAAUGCUUUUAUUUUACAAAUACUUAUCUGAUUUUACCUGGAUAUGUUGUCUACUGAAGAGCAUCUCCCAGAAGUACUUCAAAACUUGUGCAUGGCCACAUUAACCCUAGAAAAUUUUAAAGACUCCACACUGGGCUUUUGUAUGGUUGCUGUGUUGCUUCUAUGAAGACCCCACUUUACAAUAAAGCUGUCAUUAAUGCUGAAACCA
rnacentral:lncRNA from 1 species